rnacentral:rRNA from 1 species
GACGAACGCUGGCGGCGUGCCUAAUACAUGCAAGUCGAGCGGACAGAUAAGGAGCUUGCUCCUUUGAAGUCAGCGGCGGACGGGUGAGUAACACGUGGGCAACUUGCCUAUAAGACUGGGAUAACUCCGGGAAACCGGGGCUAAUACCGGAUAGAUUCUUUCCUCUCAUGAGGAAAGAAGGAAAGAUGGUUUCGGCUAUCACUUAUAGAUGGGCCCGCGGCGCAUUAGCUAGUUGGUAAGGUAACGGCUUACCAAGGCGACGAUGCGUAGCCGACCUGAGAGGGCGAUCGGCCACACUGGGACUGAGACACGGCCCAGACUCCUACGGGAGGCAGCAGUAGGGAAUCUUCCGCAAUGGACGAAAGUCUGACGGAGCAACGCCGCGUGAACGAAGAAGGCCUUCGGGUCGUAAAGUUCUGUUGUUAGGGAAGAACAAGUACGAUAGUAACUGAUCGUACCUUGACGGUACCUAACCAGAAAGCCACGGCUAACUACGUGCCAGCCGCCGCGGUAACAC